rnacentral:rRNA from 1 species
UACGUAGGGUGCAAGCGUUAAUCGGAAUUACUGGGCGUAAAGCGUGCGCAGGCGGUGAUGUAAGACAGAUGUGAAAUCCCCGGGCUCAACCUGGGAACUGCAUUUGUGACUGCAUCGCUGGAGUACGGCAGAGGGGGGAUGGAAUUCCGCGUGUAGCAGUGAAAUGCGUAGAUAUGCGGAGGAACACCGAUGGCGAAGGCAAUCCCCCUGGGCCUGUACUGACGCUCAUGCACGAAAGCUGGGGAGCAAACAGG